CAGCCAGCACAUAUGAUCCAGUGAAAACGAUAUUUGAUGCUGGCACAGCUUACGAUAGGAUAGAAAUGAAUUUCCUUGAUACACCAGGUAAAAAUAAAUAAAUAAUAUUUAUCAUAAAACAUCAAUAUAAAUUAUCGAUUUAUUUGUUAUUUAGUUUCGCGCAA